rnacentral:tRNA from 1 species
GGCCCCAUAGUGUAAUGGUUAGCACUCUGGACUCUGAAUCCAGAUCAAAUGCACACAGGCCUGGUAGUGCCA